AUAAUAAUAUUCAUAGGUUGCAUAUAACACUGGGUAUAUACCUAAGUUUGUAGUGUACUCAAUGUUAAGAUAUAAAUUUUAAUUUU